CAUGACUAAGGUAAAGAAGAAGAGGAUAUAUUAAUUAACAUGAUUCAUAACGCAGCAUGACUAAGGUAAAGAAGAAGAGGAUAUAUUAAUUAACAUGAUUCAUAACGCAGCAUGACUAAGGUAAAGAAGAAGAGGAUAUAUUAAUUAACAUGAUUCAUAACACAGUAUGACUAAGGUAAAGAAGAAGAGGAUAUAUUAAUUAACAUGAUUCAUAACGCAGCAUGACUAAGGUAAAGAAGAAGAGGAUAUAUUAAUUAACAUGAUUCAUAACGCAGCAUGACUAAGGUAAAGAGGAAGAGGAAGAAGAACAAGAAGAAGAAGAGGAACAAGACCAGGAGCAUUAUCCAGGGUCUGUGUAAAGCCUUUCUCUAAGCCCGCCCUGCACGCGGAGUUGUUGGUUGUGGCGCCACACGUCUCAGAGCUGGAGGGCUUCCUGGCCCGCCGCUGCCCCUCCAUCUCCGGGGCCAGGCUCUGGAGCUUCUUCUCAGCCUACUGGAGGGAUCUGAGGGGAGGAAAAAGGAAAUCAAUCAAAGUUCUUCCUCACUAAAGAUGUCACUUAAUAUGAACUAAAUACUGGCAGCCUCUUUGCUAUUUUUUGCCUUCAUUAAAUUCCUGGAGGGUCUGAGAGGAGGAAAAAGGAGUAUGAGUAACAGCAAAGGCACAGCUCUGCCUCACCAUAAGAUGUCAUUUACAGCAACUAAAAACACUGCGGCCAGCUUCCUAACUAUUUCUGGCCUUUGUUGAAUGAUUCCUGGAGGGUCUGGGAGGAGGGAGGGGAGAAGGGGCAGAGGGAAAGGAGGAAAGAAGGGAACAGGAGAGAAGGAGGAAAGAAGGGAAGGAGUGGCAAAAUCACAGCUUUUCCUCACCAAUAGAUGUCAUUUAUACCAACUAAAAAAUGCUGGCAGGUUCCUAACUAUUUCUUGCCCCUGACAUAUUUCUGAUGCUGGCAGGUUCCUAACUAUUUCUUGCCCCUGACAUAUUUCUGAUGCUGGCAGGUUCCUAACUAUUUCUUGCCCCUGACAUAUUUCUGAUGCUGGCAGGUUCCUAACUAUUUCUUGCCCCUGACAUAUUUCUGAUGCUGGCAGGUUCCUAACUAUUUCUUGCCCCUGACAUAUUUCUGAUGCUG